GAGGGUAUAGCUCACGUGGUAGAGCGCAUGCUUAGCAUGCACAAGGUCCUGGGUUCAAUCCCCAGUAUCUCCU
rnacentral:tRNA from 1 species